rnacentral:lncRNA from 1 species
CUGUAGAGUGGUGCUUGAGCUUGGUUCUCCAACCUCGCUCAACUCUAUCAUUCUCCCAUUGUCUCCGCUAAGAAUGUGUUCCUUCUCAAGGAACACUGCUCUCUUAGCUACAAAGACCUUUUGGUCCUCGAGAUGAUAGAAAUAAUACCCACAAGUUUCCUUGGGGUAUCCCACAAAUUUGCAUCGCUUUGUCCUUGAUUCUAAC